rnacentral:rRNA from 1 species
GUCAGGCUCAGAAUGAGGUAGGGUACUGGCAACAGUGCUCUGCUGAAUAUUUUCACCCAUGUCUUUUGCGCACUUUUUGUUUCCUGGGCGAGUUUGCUCGCCACCAGGACCCCCAUAUGAACCUUUUUUGUUUUUGCACUCAGCGUCAGUACAAUAAUUUAAUCUAUUAAAACUUUCAACAACGGAUCUCUUGGUUCUGGCAUCGAUGAAGAACGCAGCGAAAUGCGAUACGUAGUGUGAAUUGCAGAAUUCAGUGAAUCAUCGAAUCUUUGAACGCACAUUGCGCCCUUUGGUAUUCCAAAGGGCAUGCCUGUUCGAGCGUCAUUUGUACCCUCAAGCUUUGCUUGGUGUUGGGCGUCUUAUUGUCUCUCCGUCUCGGGGAGACUCGCCUUAAAACAAUUGGCAGCCGGCCUACUGGUUUCGGAGCGCAGCACAAAUUUGCGCUUGCAAUCAGCCAAGGGCGGCAUCCAUGAAGCCUUUUUUCUCUCACAUUUUGACCUCGGAUCAGGUAGGGAUACCCGCUGAACUUAAGCAUAUCAAAAAUCCGGGAGAAAAUAG